rnacentral:rRNA from 1 species
CGCGUAGGCGGCAAAUCAAGUCAGAUGUGAAAUUCCGAAGCUUAACUUCGGAGCUGCAUCUGAAACUGAUUAGCUAGUGGGUAGACGGAGAAAAUGGAAUUCCACAUGUAGCGGUGAAAUGCGUAGAUAUGUGGAGGAACACCGGUGGCGAAAGCGGUUUUCUAGUUUAUACCAGACGCUGAGGCGCGAAAGCGAGGGGAGCAAACA